ensembl:lncRNA
UUCGUAUGCUGAUGAGGGAGCGGUUUGGGGUUUACUGGCCUGGUUGGAAAUGAUUUAGGGCGACACCGGGGCUCUGAGGCUUUAUGCCGCCGGGGGCUCGUAUAUCACCCUGAUCAUUAAUCAAUUAGCGUCUCCGAGCCACCUGUCGGACACGUCGCCGCACAAAACAUUCCUGCCCUCGGGCUGUUGCUAGACGAUGAUCAUCAGCAGCACCACUAUUACCUUCCAGCCCCCCCCCCCCUUAUGGUAAUACCCUGAUGGAUUACAUAAUCACUGUGGGCAGUAAAUGCAGCCGUCUCCACCGCGGCACUGACGGCCGUUUGGUAUUGAUCACAUGAGCUUCUCCGUCCGGCCGUCUUUUAUCACAAAUUGUCCGUGUGGGAUAGAAGUUUCUGGAAGUUCCGUUCCACUUUUGGUGGUCCGGGUUGCUGGAGAGCUCCAUCAGGCUUUGUUGAUCUCGCGUAACCACUCGAGACGCCGCGCGGCGAUUAAAUAAAUAAGGCCGAGCUCCGUUAAAAAAAAAAAAAAAAAAGAAAAAAAACCUGCUUGAAAUACCGUUUCUUUAAAUGAAGAUUUGCAUGUAAGUUUGAACUCUCGCUGCCACUAGAAAAUCUGUUCCUCGCAGCUCUGCUUCCCCCACAAAAAGCAUUUUUCACCCUUUUUGUGUUAUUUGGAACGAAUUCUUAAAAGCAGCUGGAGAGAAAAGUGGCACCAAAGUUGGAGCCUAAUCCGCCAACCCUCAACACGGGGACACGGAGCGGGUAGAUUUGUCACGCCUCGAUGUGGCAGUGUUCUUUCAUUACAGAAGCGGCGCUCUUCACGCAGCUUAGCCAAACCAAACGGCUCAAUCGGCCUCGUGAGGAAGGUCUACGAGGAAGAGGACGCAGCGAGGCUCCUAUCUGCGAAGCCAGAAAAGCCCAGUUGGUCCUACCUGUGCUCCGCUCUUAAGGGAAAAAUGGACACUUUCAAUCACAAAGGGAUUGGAGGGUAAAAGCCGCACGCCGUGUGUGCAAAGUGUGUAACAAAGUUCCCUUUUUUCUCCAAUUCUCUUUCGUCUUUUAAAGCCAACCGGUCCAGGAAAGAAGCCAGAUGCCGACAUCAUCAGGUGGAUUUUCAAAAGAACAAAAGAUCCUCUGCGAUUCUUUUCACUGCCAUUUCAUGCAGCGUAGACCCUCACUACGUGUGUGUGUGUGUGUGUGUGUGUGUGUGUGUGCGCGUUAACACCGCCCUGUCAUUGGUAUUUCAACCAAAUUAAUUCCCUCACACUUUCUUCUACUUACUCAAAGUGACGUCCCAGAAACCAACUGAAGCUGACAACAUAUCAGAUGUGGCUCAUCGUAUCUGAUCACAUUGACAUGAACGUAUCGAAACGGCCGAAUGUGACGAACAGAUAUUUCUGGAGAGAUAAAAAGGUUAAAGAAUGUCAAAGUGCAUAAAAACACAACAACAUAACUGCAGCCUGAGCGCGAUGAAGGCGAUGCACAUGGCACACAGGCAGGGGGGGGUGACGGGGCAAAGGCCUGACCUGUGGGGGUCAAAAGGGUGUGAGGAGCAUUUAUCACAGCUAGCUUCCCUGGGAGCCGGCCGGGGCCCACCGCUACCACCCAGAUGCCUUCAUGACAAAGACAAACACUGGAAUCCCUAAGUGGAAAAACAUGGCGUGCUGGCACACGGCGGGCCGCGGCGAGACGUUACAUCGUGCGGACGGUUUAAUGAGCGCGGCCUGGACCCGAUCAAAAGUCGGAGUGUCCGCCGCAGCCGAACAGAAGAGGCUGUAUUUCACGCUUCGCGGGAGCCGGUCCACUCAUCCGCGGAAAACAGCGGCUGGAGGACGGAGGUCCCGUGGAAGGUUCCCCCCGUGGGGGGGGGGGGGGGACAAAGACGCAAUUGAGAGCACGGGACCAGAUCCGGCGACCCGGGACUCGUAAAAAAAAAACAGCCCCUCAGGGGAACUGCCCCCCGCCGCCAGCGGUCGAAGACGCCCGGCAGCUCCGGCAUUGUUUUUUCCGGCGCCCUGGACAAGCGGAGCGGGGUGGGAGUGGGCUCCGCGGGCCAGGCGCCAGCCGGGGGACAAAAACGCGCUGUUGUGCCGGGGAGGAACAAUCGCGACGCCGCUCACGCAACGCGCUCUCGUCAAAGUGGAGACGGCGGUCCGCUUUUGCAUGAAAGACGCACACAGCCUCCUCGUGACUCGUCGCAUUGCAUUGAAAGCGAGACAAUGACUCGAAGUGAGACCGAACGCUAAUUAGAGGUCGGCAUCCCGUCCCACAUCGCCGACGCACCGAGACGAUCGACUCGCUGUCAGACGCUCUCACGAGGUCCCGAGAAUCCCAAGCCCUCAAAGCGCUCGUUAAACCAAAUAAACACCCAGCAUGCACCUCCCUUUCUACCACCGCAGACCAGCACGAGCAGCAGAGACCACGCGGCUUCGACGUACAUUCGCACCGACAGCGACUUGAACCCUCCUUCAACAACCCGACGAAGCGGCGCCGAGCUGUUUCCAGUCCGCCCGUAACGAGCGGAUGACAGCAGCCGCGCGCCCGGUGCCGAGAGGAGCGAGCACCACGCAGACGGGCCGUCAUCGCCGGCGCUCUCCUGCUCUUCGUUAGGGAGUGGACAGAAACACAACAGGCACUUCUACAACUUCACACUUCCAGACGCAACGCGAGCAGCCGCCGCCGCAGGUGCAACAACGGGCCGAGCGCCGAGAGGUCUGCAGAGCAUUUUCUCCUCGAUUUCCACAUUCCUACUGGCCGCGUUGGGCCCUCGCGCUGGAAGCGGGGCGAGCGGGUGGGGGGAGGGGGGGGGUCUGCUCCACAUUCAGAGGCACAGCUGGUAUUUCACCGAUUAACUGGGGCCUCUUUAUUGAUCUCAUGCAGCGACGGUUACUUAACAUGGUCCUAUGUAGCUCUGUAGUCAAGUCCAUGUUAAUUGCGAUAAGAAAAUCCCUCUAAGAGAGCGUUUGCUGCUGGUUCUCAUGUACACGCACACACACACUUUGGUUAUGGAACCUUUGGAAUCAUGGCCAUUGAUGCAUUUUUUAUAGAUUGUAUUAGAACUUUGUUUCUCAUAAUCCGUGUGAACGCGUUCACCCUCGACGCCCAACAUUGCAUUCGCAAGGAAGUGAAUCGCAAAACAGCAUUAACCCAUUUACAGCAGUUACGGUUAUUUUAAAUACAAAAAGCAAAGUCAAUUUGUGUUUGAAAAAAGAGCCGGUUGUAUUUCAGUGUCUGCAGGUGAUAAAUGCCUCUAAUGUGCUGAACUCAGCAUCUUGUCCUUACGGUGGAUGAGGAGUCUCGAUGCAUAUCUGCUCGCCGCAUCAGCCGCACACUUGUUUUCUCUGUGGACAGCACACGAAAAAAUACAGGCCGACGACAACAGUGAUUCACCAUGUUUACUUUGAACAAAGCGACUUCGCGUAUCCCAUCAUGCAAAAAAAGAAAAAGAAGAAAAUCCCAAAGUUCGGACAACAACAAGGCCAAAGAGGGGAGUGGAAACGGGACAAAGAAGACUCUUGAUGUGUGACUGCGAGGUCGUCCAGGACGCGCAGAGACGCCUCCUGGAUCACAGUCAACACAUUUCACCCGCGGGUCUUCCACCUUCAUUUAGAUGAAUAUGGACCUCCUCGAGAGGAAAUAAAGCCAUUUUGAACCCCCCCCCCUCGACAACGAGUCGGCCGUCCAUAAUGUGCCCCGUCAAUGGACUGUGGGUUUAUUCAACUGCAGGCCGCCCCCAGCACAGCCAUAAAUAACAUAGGGCAGCUCACAUGAAACCCUAAUCACCAUUGUGCUGUCACCCAACAGACAAGACUGCUUGUUUAAUUUACUGCAGCGCAUCGGUCUCAGUUCUGCCCAAUUUGGUUUCACAAUUCCAAUGGCCAAGUACUCCUGGUGUAUAUUUAUCAGUGUGCUUUUCACCCAAAAGCCAUGAAUUAAUAAGAAGGCAACGUCUGUGUCUCCGGGUCGGCGUGCACGUGCUCGUUUUGGCGCGACGGUAAGUGGGCGUGUCACAAAAUAAAUAAAUAACGAAUGCCAUUGACACUUAAUAACCCCCGGGCUCAUUAUUGGCUGUAUACGACACACUUUAUUAUUAAAUUACCACCCCAUUAGCAUGCAGACAUUUGCAUAUUGCAGUCACUGCUUACAGAGGCAGUAGAUCAUAAGUGGCAGCCAUAUGCUGCCUAGUGUGCCAUCUUACAGAAUUAUUACUGCGACACAAAAAGCCGAAAGGAAAAUGGAAAUCUCCUUGACACCAAAAAGAAAUGAAAAAGAAGAAGAAAAAAAAGAAAAGGCAAAAGGAUCUGCCGUUAUUUAUGUCACAGUCGGUCUGACGGAACGAUCAUUUACACCCUCCAGAGACGCUUCCCCGCAGACGAAGAUCCACGGGCCGCUCAGGUGGGACCACCUGCCGCUUUCCUCCCACGAUACACGCAGAACACCAACGGCAAACAACAAUGCAUGGACCAUGACUUACUGGGGGGGGGGGGGUUCAGCUUGACGUCCCCCCGGCUGCAAAUACCGCUCCGGUUUUCAUGGAUUAUUGUUCUAACCUGAGGUUGAUCGUUUUAUCGAAGUAAUAAUAGUUUUUGGGGACAAAAAAUACCAAAAAUGCAGCUUCUCCAAUGUGAAUAUUUUCUACUUUUCUCACUGUUUAUCAUUACAAAUGGAAUACAUUUGGGUUUUGGACAGGAGGACAAUAAACAACAAAUUGGAAAAAUAAUAUGUUCAGUUCAGUUGAAACCUGAGAAAACUUGUUUUAACUACUCUACCAUUUUCAAAUGAAUAAAUGAGACUAAAAUUAUAGGUUAAAUUACAUGAAAAAUACAGGUUUGGUUCAGCUGGACAACCAACCAAAAAUCCCAGCCGGGUACGGACACAUCUGGCCCAGAGCCACGCUGCUUUCAUCGAGCGCCGUUUAAGGACGUCCAAGCGACAGCGGCCAUCCGGCUCGUGGCAGCAGAGGGUUAACUUGGCAGCUCGGCUGUUCAGUGCAGCUCUUAAAAAGAAUAUUAACGGCACGUCCCUCGGUGCAGACGGCGCAACAGGAAAAGGGAGGAGAAAGGCGGGGAUGGAGGGAGAGAAAGGCGAGCAGCAGAGCGGGGUGGGUGUGUGCCAUUCCAAUUCUUCAGCGACUCUGCGCUCAGGAUUACUGUUUCGGGGAAGGAACAUAUCAUCUGUCAAAGUUAAUGGCAGGGUCCCAGGGAAAAGGAAGGAAAAAUAGAACGGAGACCAAUCAUUAGGAAGGAGGCUGAUGGGGGAGGCGGAGGCGGUUGAAUCCAACGGUCUUCUCCGCCGUCUCCCCGGGAAAAUAAAUAUACACUUAAGGGCCUCACACUUAAAAGAGAUAAUAUUAUUAUUAAAAAGGGCCCGAGCGUGGAGCCGUCGUCUGGGACAAACGAGGUCGGACUGGCGUCCCGGCCGGCCAACAGGCCCGGCCAGCCCGUCUCUCACUCAGAGCUGUGGAUGUACUCCGGAGAAGCAAUUGAUACCAUUGUUUUAUGGAGAGGAGGGCGGAGGGGGAUUAACAAACCAACAAUCGGGUUCUUUCACUGCAAAUGUCAGCCGUCACGCCGGGGAACCGUCCGACUGGGCAGAGAAAAAAGCCAAGUUGCGAAAUGGAGUGUGGAAAAAUAGUAUGAAACCCCUGUGACGAGGGAAAGGAAGCAGUGUGACGUGCUCCAGAACAUUCCCGUGCCAAUUGGUAGAAUGCAACCUCAAACAGGCGAGGGGGGGGGCGCUACAAACACACAUCAUGUGAGAUCAAGUCAAACAGGGACACAAGGCUUUCAAUUUGUUGUUAAAUGCUGUGUGUGUGUGUGUGUCUGUGUGUGUUGUCUUGAGGAUGUGAUCGUUGAAAGAAAGGCAGCACAACUUCAUUCCAAGGAUUCCAAGGUCCACCAAAACACGCGGCGGCUGGAAACACAUCAAUAACCAGGAUAAUAGGUUAUGUGGGUCUUUAGCGCGGCCUCAUUAGGAGAAAAAAAAGAGGAGACAAACCGUGGCCUGAUUCCUCAGGCAAAUUAACACAGUGAGGAAACCUAAAAUAUCACAAACGACGAUCCGUCCUGGGACGUUUCAUCAUGGGACUUACAGCGGAGCGAAACAAAGCUUUGAUAACCCCCCCCUGGCGUUGGACCUCUUUGAAAAAUCGGGUGAAUAUCAAGGGCUGAACAAAGGUACCCCGGGUGAAUAUCAAGGGCUGAACAAAGGUACCCCGGGUGAAUAUCAAGGGCUGAACAAAAGGUACCCUGGGUGAAUAUUAAGGGUUGAACAGAGGUACCCUGGGUGAAUAUUAAGGGCUGAACAAAAGGUACCCUGGGUGAUUAUCAAGGGUUGAACAAAGGUACCCUGGGUGAAUAUCAAGGGCUGAACAAAAGGUACCCUGGGUGAAUAUCAAGGGCUGAACAAAAGGUACCCUGGGUGAAUAUUAAGGGUUGAACCAAGGUACCCUGGGUGAAUAUUAAGGGUUGAACCAAGGUACCCUGGGUGAAUAUCAAUCAGGAAACAUUUAUUCUCAUAAUAUGUCAGACAUACAAGGAAUUUGACUUGGCGGGUUGAACCGAGGUACCCUGCCGCUUUAAGGCCAAGAUGAAGCAGCGCUUCUCCCACACUGACCUAAUUGCUCUCUCGCUCUCCCAACGUGAACACUGGCAGCCGUGCACUCUGACAUGUAAAGAUUGUUUAAUACCAUCAAAGCCAUAAAGAGGAGGAAUAAAAAGCAGCGAGGGGAAAAAACAGAGAAGGGGGGGGGGUGUAACACACGCGUGGGCAGUCCAGAGAGGCUGCGUGGAAGAACAGCUGAAGGAGAAUCAGUAUGCGAAGGCGGGCGCCCGUCUAACUGCCGCCGGCCGGCGCGUGUGGAGCUCCGCACGCCCCAACAUCACAGCCCCCCCCCCCCCACAGAAAGAUCCCACUGGGCUUCAGCUACGCUCCCGGUCUCGGCUCCCACCCUUCUUUUUCCCACACUCGCCCCGGUCCCUAGAAGGCAGCGACUACGUCAUCGGGCACCACUGCCAAACCGCUGUAAUGUCCCAGUUGAGUUCUACCGGUUCUAACAGAGCCUCAUUUAGGCCCAGGCUGGUUUUAUCACGGUUAGGCUACACUGGCCUUCAUUUUUAGAAGUAACCCUAAUAGGGAUUGGGCCAAAGACUUCCAACGAGCGGAGCUAUUCUUAACGGUGGUGGAGUGGUGAACAAAUCAAAACAAAGCGUAAAAAGAUAGCCCACUUUUUCUUGCCCCCCCCCUUAUUUACAGUAAGUGAAACUAAUUAUUUCACAAUAAUUACUUCCUAAACCAGACAGCCGCUCCUUUCCAGUGUCAUUCACACAGGACUUUACAAUCUGAGGAGAAAGGAGAUGUUCUGAGCUUUUCUGUUUUAAAUAUAUUACUCCAAGAAACAGUACUAAAUCAUUCCUGGUCCAGGAGGCGGCGGCGUGAGAAAAAUCCCAGCUGUCAACAAUGAUUUGAAGUUGUCAUUUCUCCAUAACUUCCUCAUUACGUUAGAUCUUACGAGGGUUAGUUUGAGGUGGGGUUGCAAUAGGCACUAAUCCACGGAAUAACAAUCCAAAUUAACCUUUUCAAUAUAAGUUAACCCUGGGCCUACGUUUUUGAGUGGCUACGAUGCGGCUUUCUGCAGCAGCAUUGCUUUGCUUCCUGGUACUCUCGUCAUGCUGACCACCGUCUGCCGUAGAAAAUACACCGCAGGUACCGCAUACUACUUCAAAAACACCCAAACAUGACCUUAAUACAUGAGAUCUAUUACGAAUGGCGACAUCGUAGCGCUUUGAUAACCCGCUUCCAACUACUGAGAGAGGGACGGUAUUUUUAGAACUCAGUGACAUGGGAUCUGGUAUCACCAGACAUCCAAAAGGUUAUUAGCUAAAUCACUUUAGUUGUGUUGAGCGCAAGCCUCCCAAAUUACAUCUAACCGUGAAUCACAAGAGACGGGAGGCGGCGAGGUGGGGAAACCCUCCGACACUCCGAAUUCCCCGCUUUGUGUCUCAGCCUCUAACGCAUCUCGCCCUGAAUGUCACAGGUUGUCACGCGAAAGGGCAUCAUUUUCCUCCUCUUCUUCCUCCUCCAGCCCCACCCCACAACAACAACAACAACAACAACCAAAAACAUGUCUGCACUGCAAAGUCUGCAGCCAGUUUUAUGUUUUAAGUUGAGCGAGGCGCACUAAACCUUCGGCGUCAUAAAAGACCGUUCAACAGGCGCUUCACUGGAACAGAGAGGAACCGUGUAGACAGUGGACGCAGAGGAUUGCGCAAUGUGAUCUGCGGAUGCAAUCCGUGGUUUCACGAGACGACCUUUUGCAAGUUCUCGCGGGCCGCCGCGUGCGCAGCGCGGCCGUGACAUUUUGAAUGUGCCGACAUCCGGACACCUCGGACCGCCGCGUUAUCUUGACACGGGUUAAUCGGGGGUGUCGACAAAUUAGUGGGAGAGAGAAAAGAGAGAGAGAGAGAGGGAGAGGAAGAGGGAGCGUUUUGGGUCACCGGGCUCCGCGGUGUUCGAUCCCCGCCGACUGUGGAUGCCCCACUGCGUCGGACGCGCGCGUCCCUCCGCACCCGGUUGUGAAGCUCAAGCGACGUGGAUGUCGAAUCAGCGGCAGCCCUCACGGGCGUCACGACCACUGAGUAAAACGUCACUCGGACGUACACCAUUAGCCGUGGCGCAUUCACCCCCCCCAUGCUGUCACAUGUUGACAAGCUGUCAGCGGCGGGUGCACGGUGUUACCUGUGGACGCGGUUACCUGUGGACCUGUUGGCUCCUCCCCCCUGG